rnacentral:lncRNA from 1 species
GGCUUAGCCGGGGCGGUGCCAUUUUCAUCAAUCCAUCCUUUAAACACGAAUCCGAAUCCUCCUUCACCCAAUAUGCUAUCCGGUCUGAAGUUUCCUGUAGCCGAUUUCAGCUCAUGAAAACUGAACUGAAGAAGAUGAUUUGGGUUCAGAUCAGAAGAGCUUCGUGGUUCGUUAGGAGCACACAUCUCGCGGUUGCUGGCAUUCAAGUACCUGGUCUCUGUAGCUAAACAAGAACAAUGAAUCAAUCGAAUUAUAUGAUAUCAAAUCACUAAUCAACUAUAUUAUGAUAUUGAGUAAAUUGCCAAAAUGGUUCAUGUGUUUAAGUCACCUUUGCUACUUCAGUCUAAAACAUUUUGUAUCUGGUCCCUGAGGUUUCAUUUUUGUUGUCAUUUCCAUCAAAUUGGCAAACUAGGUUAGAAAUUUCUGCCUUUUUUGUCGUUUUUCUCAUUUAAAUGAGGGAGUUCCUGAUGGAGGUCAGACAUAAAAUGACAAUUAUACCCUCCAUUUAAAUGAAGAAAACGACAAAAAGGGGAGAGGUUAACAAAAAUUUCUAACCCACUUUGCUAAUUGGAUGGAAAUGACAACAAAAAUGAAACCAUAAAAAAAGUUUCAUUUUUGACUGAAGUAGUAAAAAUGACCUAAACUCAGGGACCAUUUUGACAUUUUAAUCUAUAACGUUUUACAAGUUUUUAGGGGAUAUACGAGAUCACUCAUAUAACAAAGAGAGAAUUUCAUAUAUUCCUGUCUAAAAUUGUAAAAUAGCAUAUUUUCCGAAAGCACAAGUUUUCGAUACAAAAUGCUCUUCAAGUUUGUUUUGAGAAAAUAUCAUAUCAUUAGAUUAGAUGAGAUAAAAUGAUACAAUAAAAUACUUACUAUAAAGGUGGUAACUUGUUUUAAAUACAAUAAAAAUAAAUUACCAGCAUCAUAAACAAGACUGUUUCUAGGGAAAGAAGUGAGGGAGUUUGAUCUUGAUUCAGCAGAAGGUUUACAAGAGCCACUGCUUACACUGCGCCGCAAAACUGACCAACACCCGCACGUGAUCUCCAUGAUGGAUAGAAUUGUUGGUAUUAAUCUUUUUUCAUGUGGGUUUUCAUGAUUCAAGAAAUCUUGAGAUCAUAUGAGCAAAGAUCAAGAUUUGGAUUCCUCUAAUCUUGUUCGGUGUUUAUAGUUCAAAAAAUCUUGAAAUCAUAUGAAAAAAGGAUGAUUUUAAGCACUAUCCAUUCUCUUUAUAUCACUCAAAUUGGUGUUUCUUUAUGUGGGUAGAAUGA